AGUGAACGCUGGCGGUAGGCCUAACACAUGCGAGUCGAACGGCAGCACAGUAAGAGCUUGCUCUUACGGGUGGCGAGUGGCGGACGGGUGAGGAAUACAUCGGAAUCUACUUUUUCGUGGGGGAUAACGUAGGGAAACUUACGCUAAUACCGCAUACGACCUACGGGUGAAAGCAGGGGAUCUUCGGACCUUGCGCGAUUGAAUGAGCCGAUGUCGGAUUAGCUAGUUGGCGGGGUAAAGGCCCACCAAGGCGACGAUCCGUAGCUGGUCUGAGAGGAUGAUCAGCCACCCUGGAACUGAGACACGGUCCAGACCCCUACGGGAGGGCGCAGUGGGGAAUAUUGGACCAUGGGCGCAAGCCUGAUCCAGCCAUACCGCGUGGGUGAAGAAGGCCUUCGGGUUGUAAAGCCCUUUUGUUGGGAAAGAAAAGCAGCAGGUUAAUACCCCGCUGUUCUGACGGUACCCAAAGAAUAAGCACCGGCUAACUUCGUG
rnacentral:rRNA from 1 species